rnacentral:rRNA from 1 species
CCUACGGGGGGCUGCAGUGGGGAAUAUUGGACAAUGGGGGCAACCCUGAUCCAGCCAUGCCGCGUGUGUGAAGAAGGCCCUCGGGUUGUAAAGCACUUUCAGUGAGGAAGAACGCCUGGUGGUUAAUACCCAUCAGGAAAGACAUCACUCACAGAAGAAGCACCGGCUAACUCCGUGCCAGCAGCCGCGUUAAUACGGAGGGUGCGAGCGUUAAUCGGAAUUACUGGGCGUAAAGCGCGCGUAGGUGGCUUGAUAAGCCGGUUGUGAAAGCCCCGGGCUCAACCUGGGAACGGCAUCCGGAACUGUCAAGCUAGAGUGCAGGAGAGGAAGGUAGAAUUCCCGGUGUAGCGGUGAAAUGCGUAGAGAUCGGGAGGAAUACCAGUGGCGAAGGCGGCCUUCUGGACUGACACUGACACUGAGGUGCGAAAGCGUGGGUAGCAAACAGGAUUAGAUACCCCGGUAGUC